rnacentral:rRNA from 1 species
GGGUUGUGAGGUUAAGCGACUAAGCGUACACGGUGGAUGCCCUGGCAGUCAGAGGCGAUGAAGGACGUGCUAAUCUGCGAUAAGCGUCGGUAAGGUGAUAUGAACCGUUAUAACCGGCGAUUUCCGAAUGGGGAAACCCAGUGUGUUUCGACACACUAUCAUUAACUGAAUCCAUAGGUUAAUGAGGCGAACCGGGGGAACUGAAACAUCUAAGUACCCCGAGGAAAAGAAAUCAACCGAGAUUCCCCCAGUAGCGGCGAGCGAACGGGGAGGAGCCCAGAGUCUGAAUCAGUGUGUGUGUUAGUGGAAGCGUCUGGAAAGGCGCGCGAUACAGGGUG